AGGAAUGUGGCUCAGUGGUAGAGUACUUGUCUAGAAUGCAUAUGGCCCUGGGUUCAAGCCCCAGCCCUA
rnacentral:tRNA from 1 species